UACGUAGGGGGCAAGCGUUGUCCGGAUUUAUUGGGCGUAAAGAGCGUGUAGGCGGCUUUACAGGUCCGUUGUGAAAACUCGAGGCUCAACCUCGAGACGCCGGUGGAAACCGUAAGGCUAGAGUCCGGAAGAGGAGAGUGGAAUUCCUGGUGUAGCGGUGAAAUGCGUAGAGAUCAGGAAGAACACCGGUGGCGAAAGCGCUCUGCUGGACCUUAACUGACACUGAGGGACGAAAGCUAGGGGAGCGAAUGGG
rnacentral:rRNA from 1 species